rnacentral:rRNA from 1 species
UCGCUGUAGGAGAACUGCAGCGRGGAUCAUU